UCGAAACGCACCCAGUUGCCUGCUUUCUCAUUUAGCUAAACUCGUGUGGCCUUUUAUCCAGCUUGUGCGUUUCCGUUCUACGAAACUGUGCACGUAAGGACAAACUCCAAACCUGACCAUAUUGUAUUAUGAACCAGGCUGCUAACUGAUGUAGGCCGCGACGAAGGUUUUGACACGGCGUUAUCGGUCAGCAGAGAAAGGACCUAGCGAAGAUAAUUAAGCGAUAACGGAUCUCGGACCACUGUACAUGUGUCGUAUAUGUCCUUCAUUCUGACCGGGCUGCAUUUAUGCUAGAACAGAGUAAACAAAAUUUCAAGCAGUAACUUAAACGAGAUGGCAUUAAAUAGGACACUGGGGCAAAUCUCUGUUGUUCUUCGAAGUGGCUAGCAAAGUAAAAAAACAUAACGCACUAUUAAUU